rnacentral:rRNA from 1 species
GUGAACGCUGGCGGUAGGCCUAACACAUGCCAGUCGAACGGCAACACAGUAAGAGCUUGCUCUUACGGGUGGCGAGUGGCGGACGGGUGAGGAAUACAUCGGAAUCUACUUUUUCGUGGGGGAUAACGUAGGGAAACUUACGCUAAUACCGCAUACGACCUACGGGUGAAAGCAGGGGAUCUUCGGACCUUGCGCGAUUGAAUGAGCCGAUGUCGGAUUAGCUAGUUGGCGGGGUAAAGGCCCACCAAGGCGACGAUCCGUAGCUGGUCUGAGAGGAUGAUCAGCCACACUGGAACUGAGACACGGUCCAGACUCCUACGGGAGGCAGCAGUGGGGAAUAUUGGACAAUGGGCGCAAGCCUGAUCCAGCCAUACCGCGUGGGUGAAGAAGGCCUUCGGGUUGUAAAGCCCUUUUGUUGGGAAAGAAAAGCAGCAGGUUAAUACCCCGCUGUUCUGACGGUACCCAAAGAAUAAGCACCGGCUAACUUCGUG